rnacentral:lncRNA from 1 species
UCUACGAAUCAGGCUGCCGGGUUGUGGCGACGAGUGUACUCUUCACCUCGAAACCCCAGAACACCUUUAGCGAUCUGGGAAGCAAGAUGAAGAACCACAAAGAGAAGCGUUUGGGGAGACGAGGCUUGCCGUCGACGAGUCUUGGUGGAACCACGCGACGAGGUGAAGGUUGCCAUGGAGUCUGAACCCCUACCGGCACCAAGCGCAUGGUGAGGAGAGCUUGGCGAUGUCCACCUCCGCACUCGAUCUUGAGCACGACGUGCCUGUCGCCCUGUUCCUGAUGCCGCCACCGACAAAUUCUUCCAGAAUCGCUGAUCAGCGCAUGUCUGCAUGAUGCCCCACCGCCGCCUUCACUGCGCCCCGCACGGCAGCGCGCUCGGGCGGCGGCGAGACGGCUUCACUUAGGUGGUGUUUAGAUCCAGGGACUUAACUUUAGUCCCUGUCUUUAGACACUAAUUUAGAGUAUUAAAUAUAAACUACUUACAAAACUAAUUACAUAAAUAAAAGCUAAUUCACGAGACAAAUUUUUUAAGCCUAAUUAAUCUAUAAUUAGAGAAUGUUUACUGUAGCAUCACAUAGGCUAAUCAUAGAUUAAUUAGGCUCAUUAGAUUCGUCUCGCAAAUUAGUCCAAGAUUAUGGAUGGGUUUUAUUAAUAGUCUACGUUUAAUAUUUAUAAUUAAUUUUCAAACAUCCGAUGUGAUAGGGACUUAAAAGUUUUCCCAUCUAAACAGGCCUUAGCCGGAUCGCCGAUCCACGCUCUAAUCACGGAUCGGUGCGCUCGCUUCUGAAACGGCUACCUGACCGAAUAAUGACAGGCCCCGCUGUACCAUACAAGUAC